rnacentral:lncRNA from 1 species
GGGUAGAAGGCCAGACGCUUUUAGGUCCAGGCUGUUUUUGGUUCCAAGAGACUACUGGUGAACUGUAGAAUAGUACAUCAUUUGCUUUAUGGCUGAAGGAGGUCAUAGAGAGGAUAACUGAGGAAUUCAUUGGCAAGCUUGUGGGUGUUGCUUUUUACAGUAUUUUAUUGUGAAACAUAGGCAGUUUUUAGAGCUGGGGGUCAAAGUCAGAGACAGAUUAGAGGCCAAAGUGAUUGGGUCCAGGACUCAGAUAGGUGGGCAAGAUUGGCAUCCAAAAAUUUGAAUACUUAGCAGACAGGUCUGAGACCAGAGAGUGAAAGCCCAGAGUCCAUCAGCAUCACAUGAUUGUUGCUUCACUAGGCAGGAAGCUGCUUGCUCAUCACCUGAUUCAGAGUUUCUUUCUCUGCUUCUCAUCCCUGGGGUCUACAAACCUUCAUAUAUCCAAGUGUCAAUUUCACUUCCUAGCAGCUUCAGCACAAUUGGGAGCCAGAGCAUUGCUUUUUAGAAGGGGAGGAUGACCAUCCAGGCUGUGGAGAGAUCUUUGACAAUAGAAUUAUUUUCUGGAAUAAGGGACAUUCAGUGCCCCUGACCCAUCAAGUUGCAUCAGCAUCUUCCAGCUUCUCCAGGGCCUUGAGCCACUGAAGGGCUGUCCUCCCUUCGUGGUUCUCUGCCUUUUGUCCUGGGCUGACAUCAUCCAUCAGUGACAAUGGUUCCCAGAGGCAGGGAUUUUACCCACAGGGAAUGAACUGGAGGUCCACAUCCUUCUAGAGUGUGCAUGAUGCUCUACCUCUGUGUCCACCGCUGGGGAAUGGGGCAAUAAUUAUUUAGGUUUGGAUAUGUGAUUCUGACC